rnacentral:rRNA from 1 species
GACGAACGCUGGCGGCGUGCUUAACACAUGCAAGUCGAACGGAAAGGCCCUGCUUGCAGGGUACUCGAGUGGCGAACGGGUGAGUAACACGUGGGUGAUCUGCCCUGCACUUCGGGAUAAGCCUGGGAAACUGGGUCUAAUACCGGAUAGGAGCCAUUCUUAGUGUGAUGGUUGGAAAGUUUUUUCGGUGUAGGAUGAGCUCGCGGCCUAUCAGCUUGUUGGUGGGGUAAUGGCCUACCAAGGCGGCGACGGGUAGCCGGCCUGAGAGGGUGGACGGCCACAUUGGGACUGAGAUACGGCCCAGACUCCUACGGGAGGCAGCAGUGGGGAAUAUUGCACAAUGGGCGCAAGCCUGAUGCAGCGACGCCGCGUGGGGGAUGACGGCCUUCGGGUUGUAAACUCCUUUCGCUAGGGACGAAGCUUUUUGUGACGGUACCUAGAUAAGAAGCACCGGCUAACUACGUG